rnacentral:rRNA from 1 species
CAGUAGCCACGGGAAUACGUAGGGUGCGAGCGUUAAUCGGAAUUACUGGGCGUAAAGCGUGCGCAGGCGGUUCGUUAAGACAGAUGUGAAAUCCCCGGGCUUAACCUGGGAACUGCAUUUGUGACUGGCGAGCUAGAGUAUGGCAGAGGGGGGUAGAAUUCCACGUGUAGCAGUGAAAUGCGUAGAGAUGUGGAGGAAUACCGAUGGCGAAGGCAGCCCCCUGGGCCAAUACUGACGCUCAUGCACGAAAGCCAGGGGAGCGAACGGGAUUAGAUACCCCCGUAGUCCCUGUCUCUUAUAC